GCUUCGGUUGCCUAGUGGUUAGAGCGUUUGCCUCGGAUGCAUGAAGUUGUGGUUCGAACCCCAGUCGAGUCA